CCUAAAAACACUCCAAAAGGUUCAACUACUGUUUCAUUAGUAGCUGAUUCUCUUUUCUUCUGAUUUUAAAAAAAACUUAGAAAACUUCUUUGGGAUUUCUGAUUUUCUAAUUCCAGUAUGGAUUAUGUUUGAGGCUGUGUGUUGUUUUCUUGUUGCUGAUCUCUACUGACUUCUUGCUGAGCUUCUUUACCUUGUCUUUGUUCUUGACAUCCAGCCCUAUAUUCACGGAGCAAGCAUGCGAGGCUCAUGUACUCUUCAACAAGGGCAGGCUUAGAAUACUAGAACAGAUAGACCACUCCAGCUACAAUAUGUGUAUGGAUGUAACUUAAUUUUGUAUAUACUUUAUAGUUUACACCAUCAGUUUAUUUUUACCUUGUCAUAAUAAGUUAUUUACUUUAUAUUUCAAGUUAUUCAGACUUUAA